rnacentral:lncRNA from 1 species
CCCCGCCGCAUGGACGAGCGCCUCAGCCUUCUGCGCUCGCCGCCGCCGCCCUCAGCCCGCCACCGCGCCCACCCUCCUCAGCGCCCAGCGAGCAGCGGCGGUGCCCACACGCUGGUGAACCACGGCUACGCGGAGCCCGCCGCAGGCCGCGAGCUGCCGCCCGACAUGACCGUGGUGCCCGGGGACCACCUGCUGGAGCCGGAGGUGGCCGAUGGUGGAGGGGCCCCGCCUCAAGGCGGCUGUGGCGGCGGCGGCUGCGACCGCUACGAGCCGCUGCCGCCCUCACUGCCGGCCGCGGGCGAGCAGGACUGCUGCGGGGAGCGCGUGGUCAUCAACAUCUCCGGGCUGCGCUUCGAGACGCAGCUGAAGACCCUUUGCCAGUUCCCCGAGACGCUGCUGGGCGACCCCAAGCGGCGCAUGAGGUACUUCGACCCGCUCCGCAACGAGUACUUCUUCGACCGCAACCGGCCCAGCUUCGACGCCAUCCUCUACUACUAUCAGUCCGGGGGCCGCAUCCGCCGGCCGGUCAACGUGCCCAUCGACAUUUUCUCCGAGGAGAUCCGCUUCUACCAGCUGGGCGAGGAGGCCAUGGAGAAGUUCCGCGAGGACGAGGGCUUCCUGCGGGAGGAGGAGCGGCCCUUGCCCCGCCGCGACUUCCAGCGCCAGGUGUGGCUGCUCUUCGAGUACCCCGAGAGCUCCGGGCCGGCCCGGGGCAUCGCCAUCGUGUCCGUGCUGGUCAUCCUCAUCUCCAUUGUCAUCUUCUGCCUGGAGACGCUGCCGGAGUUCCGCGACGAGAAGGACUACCCCGCCUCGACGUCGCAGGACUCAUUCGAAGCAGCCGGCAACAGCACGUCGGGGUCCCGCGCAGGAGCCUCCAGCUUCUCCGAUCCCUUCUUCGUGGUGGAGACGCUGUGCAUCAUCUGGUUCUCCUUCGAACUGCUGGUGCGGUUCUUCGCUUGUCCUAGCAAAGCCACCUUCUCGCGAAACAUCAUGAACCUGAUCGACAUUGUGGCCAUCAUUCCUUAUUUUAUCACUCUGGGUACCGAGCUGGCCGAACGACAGGGCAAUGGACAGCAGGCCAUGUCUCUGGCCAUCCUGAGGGUCAUCCGCCUGGUAAGGGUCUUCCGCAUCUUCAAGCUGUCGCGCCACUCCAAGGGGCUGCAGAUCCUCGGGCAAACGCUGAAGGCGUCCAUGCGGGAGCUGGGAUUGCUCAUCUUCUUCCUCUUUAUUGGGGUCAUCCUUUUCUCCAGCGCGGUCUACUUUGCCGAGGCAGACGACCCCACUUCAGGUUUCAGCAGCAUCCCGGAUGCCUUCUGGUGGGCAGUGGUAACCAUGACAACAGUGGGUUACGGCGAUAUGCACCCAGUGACCAUAGGGGGCAAGAUUGUGGGAUCUCUCUGUGCCAUCGCCGGUGUCUUGACCAUCGCAUUGCCAGUUCCCGUGAUUGUUUCCAACUUCAAUUACUUCUACCACCGGGAGACAGAAGGGGAAGAGCAAUCCCAGUACAUGCACGUGGGAAGUUGCCAGCACCUCUCCUCUUCAGCCGAGGAGCUCCGAAAAGCAAGGAGUAACUCGACUCUGAGUAAGUCGGAGUAUAUGGUGAUCGAAGAGGGGGGUAUGAACCAUAGCGCUUUCCCCCAGACCCCUUUCAAAACGGGCAAUUCCACUGCCACCUGCACCACGAACAAUAAUCCCAACUCUUGUGUCAACAUCAAAAAGAUAUUCACCGAUGUUUAAUAUGUGAUACAAGUGACAUGCUGUGCUCAGUAUUGUGUGGAACGUGCCCCCUUGGUCUGCCUAUGCCCUUGUUUUAUACAUUUCCAGACCAUUCAUCAAGGAAAGGACCUGAAGAAGUGGAAAGCACACUUCAUUCUCCCUCUCCCUGCUGCUUCAUACUGAAACAGGUGCCUGUUUUGCAAGUGGGCUGCAUUCUCUCAGCUCUCCUUUUCCCUCUUACCCUCUCUCUCUUAACAUUGUAAACAACAGACUUACGUUAAACUUCAUUUCUAGUACACGCCCUAUUUAAAAAAGAGCAGUACAUCCUGGGAGGAAAUGAAACUAAAGAACAGUUAGAGUAACUGUUUAACCUCAGAAUUUUAAAGGCAGUUGUUUCUUUCCUAAGCACAUCAAUUCGUAGUAAAUGAUGCUUCGGUUUGAUGGACCUUUCAACGUUAUUUAUUGAAUAUGUAUUUCGGUUGCCUACCCUGUAGAUAUGUGGAUGAAGAGUCUAACUAGAAUAAUGACUUGUAAACCCACCAUGAGUUAUUUGGUUUUUGACUUAAAUUCCUAUUUGAAUCCCCUUUCCCGGAAUUUUAAGUGUCUCUACAACUUUGAAUAAAGGGAAAUGCCCAAGAUGUCCUGAUCUGACUAAUUAGUUUAAUUCUUUCGGGCUUGCUAAGCAUUUCUAAAGCAUUAGACUAACAGAUUCCUGUGAAGUUCUGUGCAUAUGUCCCAGCCCCAACAACUAUCAAAGUCUAGAAACAGAUGUUUUCAGUGUUGCUGAGAGAAACAAAAAAUUUCCUAAUGCAUCUGAGAGAUAAGCUUCGGCAGUAUCACAAGAAGAUUAAAGUGGCAGACACCCCUUCCAGCGGAAGUUACUAAUUCGGACCUGACUGAUGCAGUUUCCAUAGCAACCCAUGUUUCCUGGGAAACCCGAAAAAGGUUGUCAUGGCAUCUCUUGCUCUCUAGCCCCACCUCCCAGCCCCUGCCGUUUCCACAGUAACCUUUCCAGAUGGUUCCUACUUAAAUGAUUUCAUAAGGAAAACCACUGUUUGAAUAAGCCGCACAAAAAAUAAAGUUAAGUCUGAGACUCUAAGGAGGUGAAAUGAAUCCCAAAUGCAUUUUUUAACUAUGAAAAUCAUUAUGUCAUUCCAUAAUGACUGAAUCAAGGAGGAAAAUAUGGUGUUUGGAAUGUUAGAUAUUAACCACAAUAAGGCAUGAUCUGGAUUAAAUGCCAUUUAUUAGGCAAUAAUUUUUAAAGAUGCUUCUCUACAGUUUUCUUUCUCCAAGAACUUUCAAGCCAACAAAUGAAAUUUAAAAGCAAAUGUAAAAGUGUUCUGUACAUAAGCAAAUGAGAGAUUCGAUCAGUGUGCCUGAAACCUUACUACAAGGGACCUUCAGGCUUUCUCUUUAAAAAAAAAAAUACAGAUCCCACAACAGCUCUGUCAUCAUCACAGCACUUGACAAGCUAAAUAAACUUCAAAUAAAUAAAGGAUGCACGUUUAAAACUGAGUGAAUUGCAGACAAUCAAUUAAAAGGAGGGACAGGAAGUAACCAGAUCUUGGGAGAACACCUGCAAGUUUCAGCCAUAUGCCAAGGGUUGCCAGAAGACAGACAGAAUCAGGCAGUUCCAAGUCCUUCCCACCUCUCAGCUGUGAAUAGAAGUGAUAACCCUUCCCACUAAGAAAUGCAAAGAAGCACACGUGCCCCAUAAUCUGAAGACUUAUGGAAACACUGUGAGAUAGAGAUCCCUGAAGAGCCCCCCAUAUAAAGAACUGUAGAGCUGCACUGACCAGUAGGAUGCUCCAUUUUAAAUUGCCUGGAUCAAGAAUGCAGUAGCAGUUAUAUCACUGAUGGGCAGUGAUCCAUCUGCCAGCACAUAUUUUUAUUUCAGUUGACAUUAAAUAAUAUGUCUCUAACAAAUGCUUUAUAUAAAGGGAACAACUCUGAAGUUGGAGGAUUCGCUUCAUAAUGCGUGCAUAUAAAAGACAUUUCAUCAAGAGAUGAAGAAUGCUAAAAAUAUUAAGGUAUCAUUGCAACCUUUUGACAUUUUGAUGAAAUCGAAUCAUCCAAAAACUAUAAUCAGUGCUGCAGAAAGAAAGCCUAAAAUUUGUUUCUAGCAAGCCAACUAUUACUGUUUUUUGUGUUUUUUUUUUCAAUUAAGUAGUGGACUGUGUUUAAUCAUGAGAUAUAGUCGUGUUAUAUUCCAUGUUCUGGGUUAUGUGCAACUUUAUUUGUGAAGGUGUGUUUUGUACCAAAGGCUCUCAUACAUAGAUUAGCCCAUUUACAUAUAAAUAAGUGAAGUCUACACUGUGCCCAAAUGAAUGGUAUUAAAGACAGACUUGCCUAAAAGAAAUGUGCCUUGCUUGAUUAAACAUUCUUUUAUUUUUUAAUCAAAAUGAUAAAUUUGCAAAUUAGCCUUAUAGGUUUUAGCUGAGCUGAACUUGACAAAAAUGUGUUAGUACUUACUACAUGUUUUAAUAUUCUAUCUUAAUUAAAAUUGUAACAUUUAGUUAUACUUUCAACAGUUCAUAUAUAAUAUAUUCAUUUAAUUUUGUUUUCAUGGGAUGUUUGGUGUGGUGAGACAAAGCACAUUCUUAAAGAUAUAUAUAAUAUUUCAUCUAAUGUUUAUAGCUUUUCCUUCAAAAUUAUAUAUGUAAAAGUUUCCUUAACUCAUUUUCUAUUUUUAUAUUCUUUUAGAAAUGGAACUCUUUUUCAAUUAAAAAAAAGUUUUAGUUGGAAAAGAGAUUUAGGAGGUCAUGAAGAUGGCUUCCCAUUUGGGGACAUUUCACUUCUGUGCCAUUAAUGUAUUUACUGUGACAUUUCAGCAGAAUGGUAGCUAUUUGUAUAUUAUUUCAUAAGCCUUAUGGAAAGUCAAACUGUGAAAAUUUAUUAUAUAGAACCCUUUUUUAUUUCCAUAUUUUAGUUUCAAAAUAUACCUGAACAAAUGCAUAAAUAACCAAUCCUCUGUUAUUUAAAUAUAUAACCAUGCUAUGUUAUAAUAAGAGCACUUGUAGAAUUUUAGUAACUAUAAAAAUAUUUCAGUAGCAAAGCCAAGAUUAUAAAUGUUUUGAUCCCCUACAGAAUGGAGUAAAAGUGAUGAAUUGCAUUGUAUGAGAAUCAGUAACUAAAACAAUCUUAUACCUGCAGCGAAACAGAUAGAUAAAUAAGAGAUACAAUCUAGGUAACUUUCUUUGAGGCAAAGUCUACAAUGAAUGUCUCACAAUCUGCUGGUAAUUUCUUUGUGUCAAAAUUUUGAGACUAGAUCACUACAGGAAAAAAUGAAAGUCUAACAGCUAUCUCAGAUUUGAGCUAUGUGAACUUUUAGUCAAGAUGAUUUGUGAUUAAAGUGAAAAUUUAGCCACUGCCUUGUCUUUGUUCUAUGUUAGCCCAUUUAGUAGAGAUAUGGGCCUGGAGAAUAGUCAGUCCAUUGCAGCAAACAUAAUCCUUAUAACUAAUUAUCACAGCCUGGGUAACAGUAAAGUAAUGCACAUUAGCUACUGGGAUGAUUGAAACAAACUGAUCAACUGUGUUACAGGAGGUCUUAGAUAUUCAGAUGUUUUAGUAAGGAUCAGUAGGUGUUACAAAAAUAGACACAAAAACUACCUUUAUAAAACACGAAUGAAACAACUGUAUGCAUUAUAGUAUAUUUAAUAUCUGAAUUAUUAUUACAGGUUACAGUUUCAAAUAAAGACAAAACCUGGAUUUUUGUGAUAAAAGCACAGGAUGGUGUCAGAUGAGUAAACUGUUAUACUGAAUAUGAUUCACAGAAAGGAUAGUAAAAAUGCUACUGGUUUAGAUAACAGUAGACCAGAAUAUUUAUUCACUUUCUACCUGUGGGACCUUAGGUAAAUCUGUUACAUUACUAGGCUUCAGUUUGCAGGCUUGAAUUGCAAGAUGGGCGUGCUGGAUUCAAUGAUCUCCAAAGCCCUUACCAGUCCCCAAAUUCUCAUUAUACACAUUUGAGAAAUGCUUUGAAGAAAACAGGGCCGGGUGCGGUGGCUCAUGCCUGUAAUCCUAGCACUUUCGGAGGCCAAGGCAGGUGGAUCACAAGGUGUCAGGAGUUCGAGACCAGCCUGGCCAACAUAGUGAAACCCCAACUCCACUAAAAAUACAAAAAUUAGCUGGGCAUGGUGAUACAUGCCUGUAGUCCCAGCUACUGCUGAGGCUGAGGCAGGAGAACCGCUUGAACCCAGGAGGUGGAGGUUGCGGUGAGCCAAGAUCAUGCCACUGCACUCCAGCUUGGGCAACAGAGUGAGACUUUCUCUCAAAAAAAAAAAAAAAAAAAGAAAACUUAAGUACCCAGAUUUUCUUAUGCAGGAAAGAAACAUGAAGUAAGAUUUAAGCCUUGAAAGUAUCAUAAAUAUAUCAUUCUUCAAAUUGAUUGUGAUGAAAGGAAAUAGGAUUCUUUCUCCUUAGAAUUUUCACUGAUCUAUAAUGGGAUCAAAAAAGUAGAAAAAUCAGUCUGCAGAAUGAAAACAGAUUAAUGAAAUAGCUAGAAAGGAGGGGAGAGCAUUUGUUUAGUUAAAUGUUAAGGUAACUUGAAAAUUGUCUAUGAAAUGCUAAAACUGUACCAGAGCCUUAUUGCACACUCAACAUUUUAAGCCUGGGAGCAGGGGAAGGUGGGAAAAGGUUGGAGUGAUAGAAGUGUUUGCCUUAUGAUCUCUUGACUCCUUUUACACAAGAAGCAGAUUGGUAGAGCUUAAGCAGGUGUCUGUGCUGUGGUGCUGGCUCUGCCAAAAACUCUCAUAUGCCCUAGGAAAGUUCCUUUAACUUCUCUGAGCCCGAGUUUAUCUGUAAAGUGAAGACUUUUUAAAUUUAGUAAUCUGUAUGUCUCAUCUCUGAGAAUUCUAUAAUGUUUUCACAUUGUUAUAUGUGUAUAUGUACAUGUUGCUCCCCUCUAGUCACUAAGAUGCCACAUAUUUCUACUUGAGUGAACAGAUUGCAAGUCCAAAUGUUCUUGUUUCUAAUACUAAUAAUUGAUCUCAGCAAGACAUAAAAAAGUAAAAAAAAAAGUAAUCUUACCUUUUAUUUUGACCUUGGCUUUAAAUUAUUAUGAUUUAUCAUUUCAUCUUUGAAUGCUGAGUGAAUUACCUAAACAGAAUGUCUGUUCCAGUUAAUCUUCUCUUUAAAUUUUUGUAGUUUAAUAAACAUGUAACAAAUCAGAAGCAAGUAUAUCAUGCUUAUCGAUGAACUGUAGCAGAUUGUAAUGGUGCAUUUUUGUCACAUUAAAAAGUUAAUGUCCUUUUGGUCCCAGAAGCAAUUACUAUAAUUUAAAAUAAUAUUCACAAAAUUUUGUGAAUGUUUUUGAAUACAAAGGAGGCCUAAUACAGCCAUAUUGUAGUUCAUUUUGCUCAGGAGUGAGAAACAAAAUUCAGGGAUAACCCAAACAUGUCUGUUUGGCAAUAGUGGAUAGUUAGGUAAAGAAGGGUUAUAGCUUUUGCACAUCACAGAUAAGAGGCGACUAUACCUAUUGAAAAACAGCAGUAUAUUCUGGUUCUUGGUUUUAUGAUGGAAAGAUAUUAGAAUGAUACUAAAAUUUGGAUGCUUGGGAAAUUGAAUAAUACAGAAAUAUUUUGUCAUACUGAGAUUAUUUGUCCAGAAGUUUAGUCUUAUAUCCCUUCCAUUCAGAAAAGGGGGCAGUUUUUAAAGGCCUCUGUCAUAAAAGGAAAUGUAUAUUUUGACUAGUGGAGCAAUUAGUUAAAACAUUUAAUCUGAUCAUUUUGGUUUUAUGAAUCUGAAUUUUCACUUUAGGUGUAAUUGAGUCGCUUAUGUAUUACUGUGAUCUUUGUGAGAAGUGAUUUCGUCCAUUUUUUUAAAUCUGAUGAAACUUGAUAAAUGGUGAUUCUAGCAUAUUGUGUUAAUACUGUAUCUUACAACAAUUUGUGAACUGACCAUCAUAAACGAAUCAUAGUAGUAUCUCUUCUGGUAAGUUGUUUCUAUAUGUGAUCUCUUAAUGCUGGGUUUGGGGGUGGGGAUGGGGUUAAGUAUUUAGUUUACUUUAAACUGUCAAAGUGUUUUUCUUAAAUGCCAUAAAAUUGUAUGACUAUAAGCCAAAUAAGAAUAUUCUCUUUUUUCACUUUUAAGGGCACUGUAUAGACCAUUUUUGAAACUAUCCCACAGAAUGGUAUAAUUUCAGUUUAAAAGCUCUUACACACAUACACACACACAAAUAUAAAUAUAUAUAUAUACACAUUCAAGGGAAAGCAAACAGUGUAUGUAGUAUUUCUAAGUGACAUGCUACACGUUAUAAGAAUCUAUUUUUGAAAUCUUAUACAGAUUAUGCAGAAGUCAGAAUAACAAAUACAACACCUCAAUUUUUUUAUAGAGUCUAGCGUUAGUUUACUAUAAGAUUUGCUUACAUCAUACUUGCAAAGAUCAUUCACAUAAUUUAUUUAGCAUUGAAAAUCUUUAUAUGAAGUACUAAUGUCAUCUGAAGUUUAGAGAUUAAACAACCAAGGUUUAGAAAGAUCAAAUGACUAGUCCAAGAUAAUAUGGCCAAUAAAUGGCUCUAAACCUCCUAUGUUCUUUAUACUAUUCACUUUUUGUCAUGUUAUUUUUAUCCUGUCACUGCCAUUAUCUUUAAAACUUUGACAAAAAUUUAAUUUUAAAAGUUACAUUGGGAAUUUUCAGAUUUUAGUGCAAAGACAUUGUUGCUGUUCUUGUCAGACCUUUUCAGAUACCUCCAGACUAUAGCCCUUCCACAGGGUGAUAUUCAAACAUUUUCCACCUAAACAUAUAAGUUUGCACACCCUGACCACAGACACUGAAUUCACUUGAUGUCAGAAUGCUAGACUAAAAGUUGAUCUUCUUGACUGACAUUUCUAAUCUCCCUUUUUAAAAAUCCAUCAUAAGGACUGACUUCUGAACAGUUGAAUAAAGCAGUAAUCAAUCCAAGAAACUGCAUCCAUUCUGAUUCAGAGGAAAAAAAAAUCCAACCUAGUGACCAUUUUUCAGCAUACUGUAUUUCAUCACAUUUAUUCUGUGAUUAGUGGAGGACAGAGAAGAGGGACUGGGGAGAAAAACUGCCUUUAUUUUAAGAAAGCUCAUUUUCCUGUAACUAUUCAAAAAGAAUUGAUUAUCAAGUGUUAGAUAACAAUAUUACUAACAUUUAUCAUCAUUCAAAUAUUUAGUAAAAUUUCUCCAUAUAUUUAAAAUUUUACUUAAGAAUUUUCCCAGUUAAAAUAUGACUGCUUAGUUUGAAUAAGGAAGACAUUCCUUUCAAUUCAUGACACAAUAGUACAUUUUUAUUCUUUUCUCAGACAGCAGAGAGACACUGUUACUGCUUUCCCUUGUAAGUCAACAGUCUGUGAUACAUGCUGUACUUUUACUGAUUAGCAAUGCAAUGUUACUGUGAAUAUUUAACUAGAACUUAUUAUAUUGGAAUUUAAAAUUUUCUAACAUUGAAUUUAGUUCUCUUCAUCAAAUAAGCAAGCAUUAUUUUUAUGAAAUGAAAUAAUCAUUCUUAAGCAGUGAUGAUAAUGGAAUUCUGAAUACGAUGUAAAAUCAAACAUUCUAUUUUUUCUGUUUAUCCUUUGACAUUGAGUUGUUUUAAUUUAUUACAUAUUAUUAAGUUGAAAUAAGCUUUAUACCAUGUUCUCUGAUGUUCUUGUCAUAAUAAUUUUGGGUCUUUUGUUAAGUAAAUAUCAGAAAAUAUCUGUGAGUUUUGAUUAUGUGAUAUUUUCAUCUGAUUGAUUUUUUAAAUUUCUCAUUGGAUUUAAAGUGUUUUCUUUGCUAAUGUUAUAUACAGAAUUCAAUAAAAGACCAAAAAAAAUCC